GAUGAACGCUGGCGGCGUGCCUAAUACAUGCAAGUCGAGCGAACAGACGAGGAGCUUUCUCCUCUGACGUUAGCGGCGGACGGGUGAGUAACACGUGGAUCACCUACCUAUAAGACUGGGAUAACUUCGGGAAACCGGAGCUAAUACCGGAUAAUAUAUUGAACCGCAUGGUUCAAUAGUGAAAGACGGCUUUGCUGUCACUUAUAGAUGGAUCCGCGCCGCAUUAGCUAGUUGGUAAGGUAACGGCUUACCAAGGCAACGAUGCGUAGCCGACCUGAGAGGGUGAUCAGCCACACUGGAACUGAGACACGGUCCAGACUCCUACGGGAGGCAGCAGUAGGGAAUCUUGCACAAUGGGCGAAAGCCUGACGGAGCCAUGCCGCGUGAGUGAUGAAGGUCUUCGGAUUGUAAAACUCUGUUAUUAGGGAAGAACAGAUGUGUGAGUAAAUAUGCACGUUUUGACGGUACCCAAUCAGAAAGCCACGGCUAACUACGUG
rnacentral:rRNA from 1 species